rnacentral:rRNA from 1 species
GACGAACCGUGCAAACGUUGUUCGGAAUCACUGGGCUUAAAGGGCGCGUAGGCGGCUCGCCAAGUCGGGGGUGAAAUCUUUCGGCUUAACCGGAAAAGUGCCUUCGAUACUGGCGAGCUUGAGGGAGGUAGGGGCAUGUGGAACUUCCGGUGGAGCGGCGAAAUGCGUUGAUAUCGGAAGGAACGCCGGUGGCGAAAGCGACGUGCUGGAUCUCUUCUGACGCUGAGGCGCGAAAGCUAGGGGAGCAAACGGG